rnacentral:rRNA from 1 species
UGAGGAAUCUUGCGCAAUGGGGGCAACCCUGACGCAGCAACGCCGCGUGGGUGAAGAAGGCCUUCGGGUUGUAAAGCACUUUUUGCAGGGAUGAGGAAGGACAGUACCUGUAGAAUAAGCCUCGGCUAACUACGUGCCAGCAGCCGCGGUAAAACGUAGGAGGCGAGCGUUAUCCGGAUUUACUGGGCGUAAAGCGCGUGUAGGCGGAUUGGUAAGUUAGCUGUGAAAGCUCCUGGCUUAACUGGGAGAGGUCGGUUAAUACUGCUAAUCUAGAGUAUGUGAGAGGGAGUGGAAUUCCGGGUGUAGUGGUGAAACGCGUAGAUAUCCGGAGGAACACCAGAGGCGAAAGCGGCCUCCUGGCACAUCGACUCGAGCUCAGACGCGAAAGCUAGGGUAGCAAAC